rnacentral:rRNA from 1 species
CCUACGGGGGGCAGCAGUGGGGAAUAUUGCGCAAUGGGCGAAAGCCUGACGCAGCGACGCCGCGUGAGGGAUGAAGGUCUUCGGAUCGUAAACCUCUGUCAGCAGGGAAGAAAGGUCACUGUGCUAAUCAGCAGUGAAUUGACGGUACCUGCAAAGGAAGCACCGGAUAACUCCGUGCCAGCAGCCGCGGUAAUACGGGGGGUGCGUGCGUUAAUCGGAAUUACUGGGCGUAAAGCGCUCGUAGGCGGUAUGUCAAGUCAAGGGUGAAAUCCCCGCGCUCAACGUGGGAACUGACUUUGAAACUGGCAAGCUGGAGUGUGUGAGAGGAUAGUGGAAGUCCAGGUGUAGGAGUGAAAUCCGUAGAUAUCUGGAGGAACAUCAGUGGCGAAGGCGACUAUCUGGCACAUAACUGACGCUGAGGAGCGAAAGCGUGGGUAGCAAACAGGAUUAGAUACCCUGGUAGUC